rnacentral:rRNA from 1 species
AACGAACGCUGGCGGCAUGCCUAACACAUGCAAGUCGAACGAGACCUUCGUGUCUAUUGGCGCACGUGUGCGUACCGCCUGGGAACCUGCCCUUAGGUUCCGAAUACCUCCCCUAAAGGUGUCCUAAUACCGGAUAAUCUCUUCGGACCUAAGAUUUAUCGCUUUUGGGUGGGCCCGCGUUGGAUUCGCUAGUUGGUAGUGUAAAAGCAUGCCAAGGCGACGAUGCAUGGCUGGUCUGAGAGGAGGACAAUCCACAAUGGGACUCAGACACGGACCAGACUCCGACGGAAGGGAGGAGAGGAGAAUAUUAGACAAGGGGCGAUAGCGUGAUCCAGCAAUGCCGGGUGAGAGAUGAAGGCCUUAGGGUUGUAAAGCUCUUUUAGCCGGGAUGAUAAUGACAGUACCGGGAGAAUAAGCUCCGGCUAACUACGUG